rnacentral:rRNA from 1 species
GAUGAACGCUAGCGGGAGGCCUAACACAUGCAAGCCGAGCGGUAGAGUUUCUUCGGAAACUUGAGAGCGGCGCACGGGUGCGUAACACGUGUGCAACCUACCUUUAUCUGGGGGAUAGCCUUUCGAAAGGAAGAUUAAUACCCCAUAAUAUAAUGAUUGGCAUCAAUUAUUAUUGAAAACUCCGGUGGAUAGAGAUGGGCGCGCGCAAGAUUAGAUAGUUGGUGAGGUAACGGCUCACCAAGUCAAUGAUCUUUAGGGGUCCUGAGAGGGAGAUCCCCCACACUGGUACUGAGACACGGACCAGACUCCUACGGGAGGCAGCAGUGAGGAAUAUUGGACAAUGGGUGAGAGCCUGAUCCAGCCAUCCCGCGUGAAGGAUGACGGUCCUAUGGAUUGUAAACUUCUUUUGUACAGGGAUAAACCUACCCUCGUGAGGGUAGCUGAAGGUACUGUACGAAUAAGCACCGGCUAACUCCGUG